CAUAUACUCCUCCGUCCGGAAUUACUUGUUGCUCAAAUGGUUGUAUCUAGCACUAAAAUACCUCUAGAUACAUCCAUUUGAGCGACAAGUAAUUCCGGUCGGAGGUAGUAAAUU
rfam:Triticum urartu cultivar G1812 contig238170, whole genome shotgun sequence.